rnacentral:rRNA from 1 species
GGGUUGUGAGGUUAAGCGACUAAGCGUACACGGUGGAUGCCCUGGCAGUCAGAGGCGAUGAAGGACGUGCUAAUCUGCGAUAAGCGUCGGUAAGGUGAUAUGAACCGUUAUAACCGGCGAUUUCCGAAUGGGGAAACCCAGUGUGAUUCGUCACACUAUCAUUAACUGAAUCCAUAGGUUAAUGAGGCGAACCGGGGGAACUGAAACAUCUAAGUACCCCGAGGAAAAGAAAUCAACCGAGAUUCCCCCAGUAGCGGCGAGCGAACGGGGAGCAGCCCAGAGCCUGAAUCAGUGUGUGUGUUAGUGGAAGCGUCUGGAAAGGCGCGCGAUACAGGGUGACAGCCCCGUACACAAAAAUGCACAUACUGUGAGCUCGAUGAGUAGGGCGGGACACGUGGUAUCCUGUCUGAAUAUGGGGGGACCAUCCUCCAAGGCUAAAUACUCCUGACUGACCGAUAGUGAACCAGUACCGUGAGGGAAAGGCGAAAAGAACCCCGGCGAGGGGAGUGAAAAAGAACCUGAAACCGUGUACGUACAAGCAGUGGGAGCACGCUUAGGCGUGUGACUGCGUACCUUUUGUAUAAUGGGUCAGCGACUUAUAUUCUGUAGCAAGGUUAACCGAAUAGGGGAGCCGAAGGGAAACCGAGUCUUAACUGGGCGUUAAGUUGCAGGGUAUAGACCCGAAACCCGGUGAUCUAGCCAUGGGCAGGUUGAAGGUUGGGUAACACUAACUGGAGGACCGAACCGACUAAUGUUGAAAAAUUAGCGGAUGACUUGUGGCUGGGGGUGAAAGGCCAAUCAAACCGGGAGAUAGCUGGUUCUCCCCGAAAGCUAUUUAGGUAGCGCCUCGUGAAUUCAUCUCCGGGGGUAGAGCACUGUUUCGGCAAGGGGGUCAUCCCGACUUACCAACCCGAUGCAAACUGCGAAUACCGGAGAAUGUUAUCACGGGAGACACACGGCGGGUGCUAACGUCCGUCGUGAAGAGGGAAACAACCCAGACCGCCAGCUAAGGUCCCAAAGUCAUGGUUAAGUGGGAAACGAUGUGGGAAGGCCCAGACAGCCAGGAUGUUGGCUUAGAAGCAGCCAUCAUUUAAAGAAAGCGUAAUAGCUCACUGGUCGAGUCGGCCUGCGCGGAAGAUGUAACGGGGCUAAACCAUGCACCGAAGCUGCGGCAGCGACGCUUAUGCGUUGUUGGGUAGGGGAGCGUUCUGUAAGCCUG